UGGGGAAUUUUGGACAAUGGGCGAAAGCCUGAUCCAGCAAUGCCGCGUGUGUGAAGAAGGCCUUCGGGUUGUAAAGCACUUUUGUCCGGAAAGAAAUCCUUGGCUCUAAUACAGUCGGGGGAUGACGGUACCGGAAGAAUAAGCACCGGCUAACUACGUGCCAGCAGCCGCGGUAAUACGUAGGGUGCAAGCGUUAAUCGGAAUUACUGGGCGUAAAGCGUGCGCAGGCGGUUUGCUAAGACCGAUGUGAAAUCCCCGGGCUCAACCUGGGAACUGCAUUGGUGACUGGCAGGCUAGAGUAUGGCAGAGGGGGUAGAAUUCCACGUGUAGCAGUGAAUGCGUAGAGAUGUGGAGGAAUACCGAUGGCGAAGGCAGCCCCCUGGGCCAAUACUGACGCUCAUGCACGAAAGCGUGGGGAGCAAACAGGAUUAGAUACCCUGGUAGUCCACGCCCUAAACGAUGUCAACUAGUUGUUAGGGAUUCAUUUCCUUAGUAACGUAGCUAACGCGUGAAGUUGACCGCCUGGGGAGUACGGUCGCAAGAUUAAACUCAAAUGAAUUGACGGGGUCAUA
rnacentral:rRNA from 1 species